CAAAAAAGAACUCUCUAGACGCAAUUACUUGCUUUAUCCACACUGCUUCUUCCAGAAAAUAGGUGAACCGUCUGGUAGACUCUGAAAACGCAUACUGAGUUUAAAAGAAACAGAGACAUGAGGCGGUGGAGUUCUUAAUUUUAGGUAAUGCUGCCAGAUAAAAUUAACUUGAAAAACAAUCAAAAUCCCUAGCUACAAUCAUUUAGGGCUUGCAAUCCUGGGGAGAUUUCGGUGUUUUUUGCGUUUCUGUUGUUCAGAUUGGGUGUUGAGUUUUUGCCGUCUUGGCAUGGACAACAUGGAUGUCGAUUCACCUGCUGAAACUAACCUUGUCAAGCACAGUGAUCGAGUCCUUCGGAGGCUUGCUCAACUUGGAGUUCCUGAGGAGUUCCUUCAAAGGCGGUAUUCUGGUGUAGUUGAUUUUGUCAGGGAUAAGCGAACCUGGAUACCUGACUUGGUGUCUGUUAUUUUACCUCCUGAUGUGGAUGUGGCAGAUGUUCUCCAUGAAACUAAGGCAGGAACUAAAAGGAUGCUGAACCCAACAAUGAAACAACAUUUCAGGGAAUGCAUGGGCUGGUUACAGUGGUUGAUGUUUAUGUGUGAACCAGCCAUUGCUCUGAAAAACCUUUCCGAAAUGAGUACUGGCCGUGGUGUGUGUGGGGCUGUUUGGGGAAAUAAUGAUAUAGCAUAUCGGUGUCGAACAUGUGAACAUGACCCAACAUGUGCCAUUUGCGUUCCCUGUUUUCAGAAUGGAAACCACAAGGACCAUGAUUAUUCUAUUAUUUACACGGGUGGAGGAUGUUGUGAUUGUGGGGAUGUGACAGCAUGGAAACGGGAGGGCUUCUGCUCAAAACACAAAGGUGCUGAACAGAUACAACCUCUUCCAGAGGAGUUUGCAAACUCUGUGGGGCCUGUGCUUGAUGCUUUAUUGGUUUGUUGGAAAAAUAAGCUUGUGUCUGCUGAAACCAUCUGCCAGGAAAAUCCUGGAACAAGUGACCAUAUUCUUGUGCCCAAGAAGGUUGCAAAUGAGCUAACAUAUGUGGUGGUUGAGAUGUUGCUUGAGUUUUGCAAGCACAGUGAGAGUUUGCUUAGUUUUAUUUCUAGGAGCGUGAUCGCAUUGGUUGGUUUAUUGGAGAUUUUGGUGAGGUCAGAGACUUUCUUGAGUGAAGGUGUUGCAAAGAAACUUCAUGAGCUGCUUCUGAAGUUACUGGGAGAACCGAUAUUCAAGUAUGAGUUUGGUAAAGCAUAUUUAAGAUACUACCCAUUAGUUGUACGUGAAGUCAUAAAAGAAGGCACUGAUGAUACUCUCAAGAAGUAUCCUUUGCUAUCUACAUUCUCUGUGCAGAUCUUUACGGUUCCCACUCUAACCCCACGACUUGUGAAGGAGAUGAACCUACUUACCAUGCUUUUGAGAUGCUUAGGAGAUAUAUUCACUCAAUGUGCAGGAGAAGAUGGUCGUUUACAGGUUACCAAGUGGGGGUCUUUGUACGAGAUCACUAUUCGUGUGGUUGAAGAUAUUCGAUUUGUGAUGAGCCAUGGUAUUGUGCCCAAAUUUGUGACCAAUGACCAGCGGGAUAUCUUGAGAACUUGGAUGAGACUUUUGUCUUUUUUGCAAGGAAUGAGUCCACUAAAGAGAGAAAAUGGCCAACCCCCGGAGGAGGAAAACGAUAAUAUAAAUUUGCUUUUUGUGUUAGACCAUUCUAUUGCCAAUAUUCACUCUCUUUUGGUGGAUGGAGCAUUUUCUAGGAAUGAAGAGACGAAUGACAUUUUUUUUGACACAAGUAAACAAGACAUGGAUGAGGAAGAUAGCAUGAGACUUGCAAAAGUAGGACGCUUGUCUCAGGAAAGCUCAGUGUGUGGUGCUUCAGGGAGGAAUACUUCAGUUGUUUCUGCAAUGCAGGUCACUGAAGUUAAAUCAGAUUCCUUUUCUCGUUCUUUAAUUCCUUCAUCGGUAACAUGGUUAAUAUAUGAUUGCUUGAGGACCAUUGACAAUUGGUUAGGAGCUAAUCAUACAUAUGGGUCAAUAUCAUCUUCAAAUACUAGCAGCACUUCCAGUAGCAACUUCUUAGCUUUGAAGAAAACUUUAUCUAAGAUUAGCAAGGGUAAAUAUAUUUUUGGUGGGUUUACCAGUUCAAAUGAAGAUCAUAAUAGGCAGUAUUUUCCACCGGCUAAUAUUGGUUUCUGCAUGAAUAUGGAGACAGAGAAUACUAAAAGUAUAGGGCAGGACUGCAAAACAGUGGCUUCUGGUGACAGUGAUACUGCCGGUUUUGAUGAGAGUUUGAUGGAAGCAGACACUUCCACAGAAUUAGAUGCCUUGCAUUUUUUGAGUUCAUCUGAUUGGCCAAAUAUAAUAUAUGAUGUUAGUUCACAGGAUGUAUCUGUUCACAUUCCCUUGCAUCGAUUGCUUUCCUUGCUUUUACAAAAGGCUUUAAGGUGGUGUUGUGGUGAAUCUGAGGUGGUCAGUGCAUCUAGUGCAAGUAUUUUGACAUCAUCUUCAAUGUAUGAUGAUGAUAUCUUUGGACGUGUCCUUAGUGGCUGUCACCCUUGUGGGUUUUCUGCAUUUGUCAUGGAGCAUCCUUUGCGCAAUAGGGUGUUUUGUGCCCAGGUUCAUGCUGGAAUGUGGAGGAGGAAUGGUGAUGCUGCUAUUUUGUCUUCUGAGUGGUACCGUUCAGUUCGGUGGUCUGAGCAAGGCUUAGAACUUGAUCUUUUUCUUCUGCAGUGCUGUGCUGCAUUGGCUCCUGCUGAUCUUUAUGUCAAUAGAAUUGUAGAAUGCUUUGGGCUAACAGAUUACUGUUCUUUGACCACUGAGAGAUCCACUGAGUAUGAACCAGUUCUGGUGCAGGAAAUGCUCAUUCUUAUCAUACAAAUUGUCCAAGAAAGGCGAUUUUCGGGGCUAACUCCUGCUGAAAAUUUGAAAAGAGAGUUGGUUCAUCGGUUAGCCAUUGGAGAUGCUACUCAUAGUCAAUUGGUGAAAUCUUUGCCUCGUGAUCUUUCAAAGUAUGAGCAACUUCAGGAAAUUUUGGACUUAGUUGCUGUAUAUUCUAAUCCAUCCAGCUUCAAUCAGGGGAUGUAUUCUUUACGCUGGACAUAUUGGAAAGAGCUGGAUCUGUACCAUCCACGGUGGAACUCAAGGGAUUUGCAAGUUGCAGAAGAAAGAUACAUGCGCUAUUGUGGUGUCUCAGCAUUGACCACUCAGCUGCCUAGGUGGACAAGGAUUCAUUCUCCUCUCAAGGGUGUAGCUAGAAUAGCCACUUGUAAAGUGGUCCUAAAAAUCAUCCGUGCUGUUUUAUUUUAUACUGUUUUCUCUGAUAAAUUGACUGAACCACGUGCACCUAAUGAUGUUCUUAUAAUGGCAUUGCACAUGCUGUCAUUGGGAUUAGACAUUUGUUUGCAGCAGAGAGAACCUAGGGACAUUUCAUUUUCCAAUGAAUGUUCCAUUCCCAUGCUUGCUUUUGCUUGUGAAGAAAUUCACGAGGGAUUAAAUUAUGGUGCUGGUGAGCAGAGCUUGCUGUCACUUCUUGUCUUAUUGAUGAGGAUGCACAAGAGAGAGAAUGUAGACAACUUUUCGGAGGCAGACAGUCGUAAUGUUUCUUCUUUGAUUGAAAACUUAUUGAAGAAGUUUGCAGAGGUGGAUUCAGGAUGUAUGUCUAAACUGCAGCAACUAGCACCUGAAGUGGUCAUGCAUUUAUCACAAUUACUUCCUAGUAGUAAUGUGCAUCCUGUUGGAUCAGCUUCUGAUAGUGAGAAGCGCAAGGCGAAAGCCCGAGAGAGACAGGCUGCUAUAUUGGCAAAAAUGAAAGCUGAGCAGUCCAAGUUUUUGUCGAGCAUUAACAACACUGUUGACGAUGAUUCAAAAUCAGGAUUAGAUGAAAGCAACAAGGAUAAAGAACAAGGUUUAGAGGAGUCUGCACAAGAUGUUUGUUCCCUUUGCCAUGAUCCUAAUUCCAAAAAUCCUAUGUCCUUCUUGAUUCUUCUUCAGAAAUCAAAGCUUUUAAGCUUAAUUGACAGAGGCCCUACUUGCUGGGAUCAAGUUCACUGGUCUGACAAGGAACAAGUCAUUCUAAAUGCAAAGAAAGUGGCUGAUCAAGCUGGAACAAACUCUUCUUCAAGUGGUACAGGAGUGGUUUCAUCAUCUAAUCAAUUAGCAUGGUUGGUUCAAAAUGCAGUUAAUGAGUUUGCUGAUUAUGCUCAACCUGGGGAAAUAAGUAAUUUUCUAGAAUUUGUCAAAGCUCAGUUUCCAUCAUUGAGGAAUUCUCAUGCGCCCAGUUCUUUGAAAACUGAGAACGAUAGAACUGCACAUGCCAUAGAGAUAUUAGAAAAAGAUAUGUACAUAUCCAUUCGAAAAGAGAUGAAUGAUACUAUUCUACUUUCCAGUUCUGGAGUCGAGAAUGUUGAAUUUUCAGCAGAUGAAGGUGGCCUAAAAAGCAGCAGCGGUACUGAUUCUGUAUUGCUUGGAAAAUACAUAGCUGCCUGUUCAGGGGAGAGGACAGAGCACCCUUCAUCUUCUGACAAUACUCUUGAUGACAUUGGAAGGAUGGAUUCUACUUCGCAGGUUUCUGCAUGUGAUGGAUUUGGCCCAGCUGAUUGUGAUGGUGUUUACUUGUCUUCCUGUGGACAUGCUGUGCAUCAGGGCUGCCUUGACCGAUACUUAUCGUCAUUGAAGGAAAGAUAUGUAAGAAGAAUUGUUUUCGAAGGAGGGCAUAUUGUUGACCCAGAUCAGGGUGAAUUUCUUUGCCCUGUGUGUCGUCGACUGGCCAAUUCUGUCUUGCCUUCGUCAUCUGGGGAUUUCCAGAGGGUUUGGAUGGAGCCUAUGAUAUCAACUGUUAGUUCAACAAAUGCUGUAGGACGUUUAGUCAUAUCAAUUGAGGAAAGUAAUUUGCUUUGGCUGCAACAAGCUUUGUCUCUCUUGCGAUCUGCUGCAAACAUGGUUGAAAAGGGAGAUAUUUUGAAGAUUUUUCCUCUGCAAAGAAAUGAAAGAAUGAAGCAAAAUCUUGAUUCAAUCUCUCGUGUUCUCUUUAAGAUGUACUUUCCGAGUAAUUUGUCAAGUUCCACGAGGGCAAACCAUUGCAUGAUUAUGUGGGAUACACUUAAAUAUUCCCUUAAAUCUAUGGAGAUUGCUGCUCGUUGUGGCAGGACUCACUUGACUCCCAUUUAUGGUCUUAAUGGCUUGUAUAAGGAACUUGAAUCUUCUAGUGGAUUUAUACUAUCAUUGUUGUUAAAGAUUGUGCACAGUUUGAGAAGUAAGAAUUCUCUUCAUGUGCUUCAAAGGUUUAUGGGUAUUCAGCUCUUUGGGGAGUCCAUUUGUUCUGGAGUUUCAAUGGACCAUGCCAGUAGUGCUUAUGGAUGUGGAGGUGAUAUGUCGUCCAUUUUGAAACAUGUUGUGAAGGAAGUACCUUAUCCUGACAUGCAAUUUUGGAAGCGAGCCUCUGAUCCCAUCCUCGCUCAUGAUGCUUUUUCAUCAUUCAUGUGGGUUCUUUUUUGUCUUCCGCACCCAUUUUUAUCAUGCGAGGAAUCUUUGUUAUCACUUGUGCAUAUCUUCUAUAUAGUGCUUAUAGCUCAGGCUAUACUUACUACUUGUGGGCAGCAACAGUAUACAAAGGAAUCAACUUUUCAUGAUUCCCUAAUUACUGACAUUUCCAAAGUUAUAGAAGAAUCUGGAUGGAUCCAGCAGUAUUUUGUUUCAAAGAAUAUGGAUACUUAUUCCAAUACCAUGGAUGUAAUUCGUAGAUUGAGCUUCCCUUACUUGAGGAGGUGUGCAUUGCUUUGGAAAUUGUUAAGCACUUCUUUCUCAGAACCAUUCUGUAAUAGGGAUCAUGUGCUACCUGCCAUUGAUGAUGACUCGAUGGACUACAUGGAUAAUGAUAUAGUUGAGCUCAGUGAAGUUCAGAAGCUAGAAAAGAUGUUCAAGAUUCCACCACUGGAUGUUGUUCUCAAGGAUCAAGGAGUACGAUCUUUAGUUAUGAAAUGGUUACAUCACUUCCACAAGGAAUACGAAGUCUAUGGUUUUCAAUCCGUUUUGCAUUCCACACCUGCAGUUCCAUUCAAAUUGAUGCAGCUCCCUCAUGUAUACCAAGAUCUAGUUGAGAGGUAUAUAAAACAACGUUGUGCUGACUGCAAGAAUGUUAUUGAUGAGCCUGCUCUAUGCCUUUUAUGUGGUAGAUUAUGCUCCCCGAGGUGGAAACCUUGCUGCAGGGAAAGUGGAUGCCAACCUCAUGCAAUGGCCUGUGGUUCUGGGAUAGGGGUAUUUUUGUUGAUCAAGAGAACUACUAUUCUGCUACAAAGAUGUGCACGUCAGGCUCCCUGGCCAUCACCAUACUUGGAUGCAUAUGGUGAAGAGGAUAUUGAAAUGCAUAGAGGAAAGCCACUGUACCUGAAUGAGGAGCGUUAUGCUACUCUAACAUACAUGGUUGCUUCUCACGGCCUUGAUCAAAGUUCUAAAGUCCUCGGACAAACUACCAUUGGAUCUAUCUUCCCGGUCUAGUUUGGGAGACGUUCUUCAAGUGGAGAAUUUUUCCUCAGAUCUGUAUCGAAAAAUCUUCUGCACGUGCAAAAUUGGCCAUGCUUAUGAUUGAGCUGAAUGAGUUGACAAUCAUGGACUGAGGAGUUGUUUGUUAAGGUAUUUCGGGUUCUUUUCUCCAUGAGUUGGAAAGGCUAGGUAUCAUGGUUCUGUUGGUGUUCCGUGGUUGUACAGUUCUUAUUGCAGUGGAAUGUCCCCAUUUGCAAUCAGCAAUCAUGUUCAGUAGAUAAGCGAUAUCCUUCAUCCGUCUCACAUCUGCAUAUGGUGACCUGCAAAUUUGAACUGUACGGCUUCUAAAUCAAGUAAAAAGCCCCCAUUUUCCCUAAUGCUCUUUUCUGUCUUUCCUUGAUUUUGUUUUUGUUGUGAUCCUUCUGGGGGUGGGAUUUUCAGCUGCCCCAUGAAGGAACUGGUAGAUGACAAUUUCCUAUGCAUUUUGUAAAUGUUGUAUAUAGCUCAUCUUUGUUUUUCU
rnacentral:misc_RNA from 1 species